UACGUAGGGACCAAGCGUUGUUCGGAUUUACUGGGCGUAAAGGGCGCGUAGGCGGCAAUUCAAGUCAGUUGUGAAAUCUCCGAGCUUAACUCGGAACGGUCAACUGAUACUGCUUUGCUAGAGUACAGAAGGGGCAAUCGGAAUUCUUGGUGUAGCGGUGAAAUGCGUAGAUAUCAAGAGGAACACCGGUGGCGAAGGCGGUUCUCUGGGCAUUACCUGACGCUGAGGAGCGAAAGUGUGGGGAGCGAACAGG
rnacentral:rRNA from 1 species